CGGUUGACCAUAGUGUGUACG
rnacentral:miRNA from 15 species